rnacentral:tRNA from 1 species
GUUUUUGUAGUUGAAUUACAACGAUAGCUUUUCAAGUUGUAGGUUCAGGUUAAAGUCCUGGCAGAAAUA